GCAUGUGAGGGCACUCUGGCUGCGACAGCUGUCACCCCACUGAUCGCCAGGGUUGAUUCGGCUGAUCUGGCUGGCUAGGCAGGUGUCCCCUUCCUCCCUCAAAGAUCCAUGUGCGCCCCUCCUGAAGCUGCAAGCUCGGUCAAAGAGGAUGACCACCCCCGAUAGAGGAGGACCGUUCCUCGGUCAGGGGUAUACGAGUAGCUGCGCUCCCCUGCUAAAACCUCCAAACAAGCUCUCAAGGUCCACUAAAAUCACUCCAGAGAGUUUUGGGGGGACAAUCUGACUCAACAAUUUCUGGGAAUGGGACUUAAUCAUUUUCAACAUGU
rnacentral:snRNA from 1 species